CCUCACAGAUUCAGAGAAACGAGGGGAGGGCAGGCUGCAGCAUCAAGGUGCUCGCCAAGACCCCGGCUGCAACAGAAACCAAUCGGGGUAGCCUCAAAUAGAGUGGAAAUGGCUUAGAAGGAACCAACGGUGUCUCACAGGACCCCCAAGGGCAUAAAGUGCCUCAUGGGACUCCGGCUGCCUCUGCUGUAUGUCUGGCACUGGGCCCAAAAUGGCCAACUCAGUCCAGUCUCCAGGGGUAAGGGAGCACCGUUUCCAGUUUCCCACCACCUCCAGAUGUCCAGAAACAGAAAAAUUCAGAUCCGUGUUUCACAGGAUGAUAAGAGGAAAAACAAGAACAAAAAUAUACCAAGAAAAAAGCUACCAGCAAGACAAGAGAAACCCAGUUUCCAGCGGGAAAAGCAAGUCUCUGCAGGGCCCUGGCAAGAUCCGACCAUUACUGGACUGACCAACCUGUCUGGGUUUGCCUGGGACAUGCCUGACUGCAGCACUGAAAGUCUCACAUCCCGGAAAAACUGGGACAGUUGGGUCACCCUACGCUUUCCAGGUGAGGAAAUCUGAUCAGAGAGGUGAAGUGGUCAGAUCAAGGCCCAGUUGCCAAGACAGGGCUUAAAGAAUCCACAGCAGCACAGAGAAAUCAAGGGCAGCCAGAUCAGAGCAACUCUGAGGCCCCACAGCACGCUCUUUUGGAUGAGAGUGGCUAAGGCUCAACACUGAGUCAGGGCUGGUGAGGCGGGCAGACCCAGCUGCCACCUGAGUCGGCGUCUAGAGGGCUGUUUCCUUGGGAAGCAAUUUGGCAACUUGCAGUUCGUGCCAUGAAACUGUUCCUAGCCUUUGACUGAACGAUACUAUGCUGGGAAAUCCAUUCUAAGGAAAUUAUCUCUCUUUUUAUUAUCAUUAAAAAGCUACUGGAACAAAAAAAUAAAUAAAUAAAAUAAAAAGCUACUGGAAAGAAAAUGUUCCCUGCAAUAUUAUCUAGAAGAGAAAAUAAACCUGAAUAGUCCAUAGAGGGUAAUGGCUUCGUACAUCAUGACCCAUUUGCCCAGGGACACUGUCGUGGGACCACAGAGAUGUAACAUGGAGGGCUGUGCAGCAACAUGGAAGACUCGGACAAGAUACGCUGUGUUUUACGGGAUGGAAUAAAGAUGUGUCUACAACUUGGCAAAAUGCUUGAUUGAGGAUCAGGC